rnacentral:tRNA from 1 species
CACCUUAUAUUCAUAUAUGAUAUUAGACUGCAAUUCUAAAGGAGUAAAUAACAUAGUUUACUAAGGUUU